CGGAGGAUCCUAGCGUUGUCCGGAUUUAUUGGGUUUAAAGGGUGCGUAGGCGGAUUACUAAGUCAGGGGUGAAAGCCGGUAGCUUAACUAUCGAAUUGCCUUUGAAACUGGUAGUCUUGAAUACUGUUGAGGUGGGCGGAAUGUAUCAUGUAGCGGUGAAAUGCUUAGAUAUGAUACAGAACACCGAUUGCGAAGGCAGCUCACUAAGCAGUUAUUGACGCUGAGGCACGAAAGCGUGGGGAUCAAACAGGAUUAGAUACCCUGGUAGUCCACGCCGUAAACGUUGAACACUUGCUGUUGGCGAUAUACAGUCAGCGGCUCAGCGCAAGCGUUAAGUGUUCCACCUGGGGAGUACGGCCGCAAGGUUG
rnacentral:rRNA from 1 species